ensembl:lincRNA
GGCAGAAUUGUAUGACAUUUAUCUUUUAUCCAUCUCCAGUGUGUAGCACAGUGGUUGCGGCUUCUUCUUAAAAGUUGAACUAAUGAAUUAAUGAAUGAGCCAUUUGAAAUUUGUUCUCUCCUCAUGAACCAUAACAGGGUUGUUUCCCAGACAAAUUACCCAAGCUGUUGGAGCACUUGGGAUCAUAGCUUCUUCUUGGUUCUCUCCCUCCCAAGAGAAGAAGGUGAUCGGCACUAAGCCAGGAAGGUUUGGAGAGGCUCUGAGGAGGAGCAGGAACAAGAGCUGAUGGAACUGUGCAAGCACGACUUUGGAAGAUUCUGAGAACAAGCAGAGUCAUUUGAACUAGGGGAUGAGAUGUGGUAUGGAAUUAGGGAAAAGGCCAUUCUCCCUGCCUCUCAUGGGACCCAGAACCACUUGGGCCCCCUGAAAAUGUACAGCUUUAGAAGUCCCUGGAGAUGGAGGUCUGGCAAUGGUGUUAUCAUGCUUAUGAUGGUGCCUCUGCCGUGGCAACAGCAAGGCUUCCCAAGUUGCAGAGAGCAGCAAGAGAAAGUCAGAGCUGGAGAGCACAUGCCUGUCAGUAAAUCCAAGAACAGGCAGGAAGCACAAAGAUAUUUACUGUACAUCUCCAAGGAGCAGCAAAGCACAGGGGUCAGGAGGUCAGACUCUGGAACCAGACUCACACUAGAACCCUCAGGGACUAUGACUGCCGACCCACUAAAUUCUGUUCCUGGUUACAAUUCCACGGGGAACUCUCACCCUUUCUGGGACUCUUCAGAUCAACACACCAUAUGAUGAAACUGUUUCUUGUGUUUCAAAUGAACAAGAAGAAGAGAAAGGAUUCCAUAUGUUGAGGAAUAUCACAUAAGUGGGAAACCACAGUCCAGGUCCCACCACCCCUUUCUCUUAAUAACAAAAUACA